GAUGAACGCUGGCGGCGUGCCUAAUACAUGCAAGUCGAGCGAACAGACGAGGAGCUUGCUCCUCUGACGUUAGCGGCGGACGGGUGAGUAACACGUGGAUAACCUACCUAUAAGACUGGGAUAACUUCGGGAAACCGGAGCUAAUACCGGAUAAUAUAUUGAACCGCAUGGUUCAAUAGUGAAAGACGGUUUUGCUGUCACUUAUAGAUGGAUCCGCGCCGCAUUAGCUAGUUGGUAAGGUAACGGCUUACCAAGGCAACGAUGCGUAGCCGACCUGAGAGGGUGAUAGGCCACACGGGAACUGAGACACGGACCAGACACCUACGGGAGGCAGCAGUAGGGAAGAUUCCGCAAUGGGCGAAAGCCUGAAGAAUCAACGCCGCGUGAGUGAAGAAGGUCUUCAGAUCGUAAAACUCUGUUAUUAGGGAAGAACAAAUGUGUAAGUAACUAUGCCCGUCUAGACGGUACCUAAUCAGAAAGCCACGGCUAACUACGU
rnacentral:rRNA from 1 species